GACAGCAGUCGCCGCGGUAAUACGAAGGGUGCAAGCGUUACUCGGAAUUACUGGGCGUAAAGGGUGCGUAGGCGGUUCAGAAAGCAAGAUGUUAAAUCCCUAGGCUUAACCUAGAAACUGCAUUUUGAACUUCUGAGCUAGAGUGUGUCAGAGGGGGGUGGAAUUCCACGUGUAGCAGUGAAAUGCGUAGAGAUGUGGAGGAACACCGAUGGCGAAGGCAGCCCCCUGGGAUAACACUGACGCUGAGGCACGAAAGCGUGGGUAGCAAACAGGAUUAGAUACCCCCGUAGUCCCUGUCUCUUAUAC
rnacentral:rRNA from 1 species